UGGGGAAUAUUGGACAAUGGGGGGAACCCUGAUCCAGCCAUGCCGCGUGUGUGAAGAAGGCCUUAUGGUUGUAAAGCACUUUAAGCGAGGAGGAGGCUCUCUUGGUUAAUACCCAAGAAGAGUGGACGUUACUCGCAGAAUAAGCACCGGCUAACUCUGUGCCAGCAGCCGCGGUAAUACAGAGGGUGCGAGCGUUAAUCGGAUUUACUGGGCGUAAAGCGUGCGUAGGCGGCUUUUUAAGUCGGAUGUGAAAUCCCCGAGCUUAACUUGGGAAUUGCAUUCGAUACUGGGAAGCUAGAGGAUGGGAGAGGAUGGUAGAAUUCCAGGUGUAGCGGUGAAAUGCGUAGAGAUCUGGAGGAAUACCGAUGGCGAAGGCAGCCAUCUGGCCUAAUACUGACGCUGAGGUACGAAAGCAUGGGGAGCAAACAGG
rnacentral:rRNA from 1 species